rnacentral:rRNA from 1 species
CCAUGGCUCAGGACGAACGCUGGCGGCGUGCCUAAUACAUGCAAGUCGAGCGGAAUGAUGAAGAAGCUUGCUUCUUCUGAUUUUAGCGGCGGACGGGUGAGUAACACGUGGGCAACCUACCUUGUAGAUUGGGAUAACUCCGGGAAACCGGGGCUAAUACCGAAUAAACCAUUUUGCUUCAUGGCAAGAUGUUGAAAGGCGGCUUCGGCUGUCACUACUAGAUGGGCCCGCGGCGUAUUAGCUAGUUGGUAGGGUAAUGGCCUACCAAGGCGACGAUACGUAGCCGACCUGAGAGGGUGAUCGGCCACACUGGGACUGAGACACGGCCCAGACUCCUACGGGAGGCAGCAGUAGGGAAUCUUCCACAAUGGACGAAAGUCUGAUGGAGCAACGCCGCGUGAGUGAAGAAGGUUUUCGGAUCGUAAAACUCUGUUGUAAGGGAAGAACACGUACGAGAGUAACUGCUCGUACCUAGACGGUACC